rnacentral:rRNA from 1 species
UGCAUAUCAAUAAGCGGAGGAAAAGAAACCAACAGGGAUUGCCUUAGUAGCGGCGAGUGAAGCGGCAAAAGCUCAAAUUUGAAAUCUGGCACUUUCAGUGUCCGAGUUGUAAUUUGAAGAAGGUAUCUUUGGGUCUGGCUCUUGUCUAUGUUUCUUGGAACAGAACGUCACAGAGGGUGAGAAUCCCGUGCGAUGAGAUGUCCCAGACCUAUGUAAAGUUCCUUCGAAGAGUCGAGUUGUUUGGGAAUGCAGCUCUAAGUGGGUGGUAAAUUCCAUCUAAAGCUAAAUAUUGGCGAGAGACCGAUAGCGAACAAGUACAGUGAUGGAAAGAUGAAAAGAACUUUGAAAAGAGAGUGAAAAAGUACGUGAAAUUGUUGAAAGGGAAGGGCUUGAGAUCAGACUUGGUAUUUUGUAUGUUACUCUCUCGGGGGUGGCCUCUACAGUUUACCGGGCCAGCAUCAGUUUGGGCGGUAGGACAAUUGCAAAGAAAUGUGGCACUGCCUCGGUAGUGUGUUAUAGUCUUUGUCGAUACUGCCAGCCUAGACUGAGGACUGCGGCUUCGGCCUAGGAUGUGGCAUAAUCUGCUANUUC